UGAAUACGAGAUGCUACGGCGUCGAAGCAGUCUAUGUCAUACUUCCAAGAAAAGCUUGCACUGUCAUAAACAAAUAAUGCCUGUACCAUAACCGACACAGGUGGGUAGGUAGAGUAUACUAAGGGGCGCGAGAUAACUCUCUCUAAGGAACUCGGCAAAAUGACUCCGUAACUUCGGGAGAAGGAGUGCCUUAUUUAUAAGGUUGCAAUAACAAGAUCCAAGCAACUGUUUACCAAAAACACAGGUCUCCGCUAAGUCGUAAGACGAUGUAUGGGGGCUGACGCCUGCCCAGUGCCAGAAGGUUAAAGAAGUUGGUUAGCAUCCGCGAAGCUGAUAACUGAAGCCCUGGUGAACGGCGGCCGUAACAAUAACGGUCCUAAGGUAGCGAAAUUCCUUGUCGGGUAAGUUCCGACCCGCACGAAAGGCGUAAUGAUUUGGAUACUGUCUCGGAGAGGGGCUCGGUGAAAUAGACUUGUCUGUGAAGAUGCGGACUACCUGCACCAGGACAGAAAGACCCUAUGAAGCUUUACUGUAACCUGAAAUUGAAAUUGGACUUUACUUGCGCAGUAUAGGUGGGAGGCGUUGAGAAUAUUCUUGCGGGAUUAUUGGAGCCAUCAGUGAGAUACCACUCUUGUAAUGUUAGAUUUCUAACCUUGUAUCAUUAUCUGGUCAAAGAACAGUUUCAGGCGGGCAGUUUGACUGGGGCGGUCGCCUCCUAAACGGUAACGGAGGCGCACAAAGGUUUCCUCUGAACGGGUAGAAAUCGUAUCUAGAGUGUAAAGGCAUAAGGAAGCUUGACUGUGAGACCUACAAGUCGAGCAGGGACGAAAGUCGGUCUUAGUGAUCUGACGGUGCUGAGUGGAAAGGCCGUCACUCAACGGAUAAAAGUUACUCUAAGGAUAACAGGCUGAUCUCCCCCAAGAGUUCACAUCGACGGGGAGGUUUGGCACCUCGAUGUCGGCUCAUCGCAUCCUGGGGCGGUAGUACGUCCCAAGGGUUGGGCUGUUCGCCCAUGAAAGCGGUACGCGAGCUGGGUUCAGAACGUCGUGAGACAGUUCGGUCCAUAUCCGGUGUAGGCGUUAGAAUAUUGAGAGGAGCCUUCUUUAGUACGAGAGGACCGAGAAGGACAUACCUCUGGUGUACCAGUUAUCGUGCCAACGGUAAACGCUGGGUAGCUAUGUGUGGAGUGGAUAACCGCUGAAAGCAUCUAAGUGGGAAGCCCACCUCAAGAUAAGUAUUCUCA
rnacentral:rRNA from 1 species